AUUGGGCGUAAAGCGCGUCUAGGUGGUUAUGUAAGUCUGAUGUGAAAAUGCAGGGCUCAACUCUGUAUUGCGUUGGAAACUGCAUGACUAGAGUACUGGAGAGGUAAGCGGAACUACAAGUGUAGAGGUGAAAUUCGUAGAUAUUUGUAGGAAUGCCGAUGGGGAAGCCAGCUUACUGGACAGAUACUGACGCUAAAGCGCGAAAGCGUGGGUAGCAAACAGGAUUAGAUACCCUGGUAGUCCACGCCGUAAACGAUGAGUGCUAGGUGUUAGACCCUUUCCGGGGUUUAGUGCCGCAGCUAACGCAUUAAGCACUCCGCCUGGGGAGUACGACCGCAAGGUUGAAACUCAAAGGAAUUGACGGGGGCCCGCACAAGCGGUGGAGCAUGUGGUUUAAUUCGAAGCAACGCGAAGAACCUUACCAGGUCUUGACAUCCCUCUGACCGCUCUAGAGAUAGAGUUUUCCUUCGGGACAGAGGUGACAGGUGGUGCAUGGUUGUCGUCAGCUCGUGUCGUGAG
rnacentral:rRNA from 1 species